UGUCAGAACAGGCCCUUUGUCCUGCCCAGCCCAUUCUUGCGAGAGAAGCAGGCUGACGGUUGGGAAGCCGGUCGGAUGGAUAUUGGCCGUCAAAGACUCGUGUGAGUUAUAACUGCUACGUGAGCUGCAUCUGAGGCUCCUUAUAAAUAUCCUUCCACAUUUAUCCCGGGACCGCAAUUUCCAUGCUCACAUAGUUUACCGUUCCACAAUUCGAUGGAGCGAAGCGGACCAGAACUUUACAGGAUGGCAGCUGGCGACGACCUCGGGGGAGACUGUUGUCCUUUAGUCCUGUCGUCUCGGAUCACGGCCAACUACAAACGUUUGACACUAUAGACGAACAGAGCACAGUUCUCGACUAGAAUCAAAACAGCGAAAACACGAACAGCAGGUAAGGCUUGGAAUCUUUCAUUCUCCAAAUCCGAAUCCCAAACAGAGCUCUAAGAUGAUAACCCAGCUAAAAUUUUCCAUAAAGGAGGAAAUAAAAUAACAUACAGACAUCAGUAUCAAAAAUGUGGAAGGUCUAUGUGUGCGCAAAAUAUAGGCCGACAAGCUGUAGCAGUAGAAGAAAAUUCGCGGAGGCUACCGUUACGGUUCAGAUGUAGAAGAAGGAAAC